CUCGACUGUGCUUUAUUGAAAGUUCCCAUCGCGGGGGCGAGGAUACUUGCCUUCGCGGUUCGACUUUCUUUUCAGGCUUGACU
rnacentral:misc_RNA from 1 species